UACGUAGGGACCGAGCGUUGUCCGGAAUCAUUGGGCGUAAAGAGCGUGUAGGCGGCCUUUUAAGUCCUGCGUGAAAUCCUGCGGCUCAACCGCAGACGGUCGUGGGAAACUGGAAGGCUAGAGUGCGGGAGAGGAGAGUGGAAUUCCCGGUGUAGCGGUGAAAUGCGCAGAUAUCGGGAAGAACACCCGUGGCGAAGGCGGCUCUCUGGGCCGGAACUGACGCUGAGGAGCGAAAGUGUGGGGAGCGAACAGG
rnacentral:rRNA from 1 species